CUACGGGUGGCAGCAGUCGAGAAUAGUCUACAAUGGGGGAAACCCUGAUAGUGCGACGCCGCGUGAACGAUGAAUCCUUUCGGGGUGUAAAGUUCUUUUCUGCGUGAGCAAGACAGUUAAGAUUAAUAGUUUUAGUUGUAAGAUAUUAGCGCAGGAAUAAGCUCCGGCUAACUCCGUGCCAGCAGCCGCGGUAACACGGGGGGAGCAAGCGUUGUCCGGAAUCACUAGGCGUAAAGGGCAAGUAGGCGGAUCAGUCAGUCAGGUGUUAAAGGCGUCGGCUCAACCGGCGUAUAGCAUUUGAUACUGUUGAUCUAGAGUGAAGUAGAGGAAGACGGAAUUCCUGGUGCAGCGGUGGAAUGCGCAGAUAUCAGGAAGAACACCGAUGGCGAAGGCAGUCUUCUGGGCUUCAACUGACGCUAAAUUGCGAAGGUGUGGGUAUCGAACAGGAUUAGAUACCCUGGUAGUC
rnacentral:rRNA from 1 species